rnacentral:rRNA from 1 species
UGGGGAAUAUUGGACAAUGGGCGAAAGCCUGAUCCAGCCAUGCCGCGUGUGUGAAGAAGGUCUUCGGAUUGUAAAGCACUUUAAGUUGGGAGGAAGGGCAGUAAGCGAAUACCUUGCUGUUUUGACGUUACCGACAGAAUAAGCACCGGCUAACUCUGUGCCAGCAGCCGCGGUAAUACAGAGGGUGCAAGCGUUAAUCGGAAUUACUGGGCGUAAAGCGCGCGUAGGUGGUUCGUUAAGUUGAAUGUGAAAGCCCCGGGCUCAACCUGGGAACUGCAUCCAAAACUGGCGGGCUAGAGUAGGGCAGAGGGUGGUGGAAUUUCCUGUGGAGCGGUGAAAUGCGUAGAAAUAGGAAGGAACACCAGUGGCGAAGGCGACCACCUGGGGUCAUAAUGACACUGAGGUGAGAAAGCGUGGGGAGCAAACAGG